AAAAAAAAAAUUUUUUUUAAAUAAAAUUGGAAUGAUACAAAGAAGAUUAGAAUGGCCCCUGCGCAAGGAUGACAUGCAAAUUCAGGAACCAUUCCAUAUUUUU
rnacentral:snRNA from 1 species